rnacentral:rRNA from 1 species
UACGUAGGGGGGCAAGCGUUUGUCCGGAUUUAUUGGGCGUAAAGAGCGUGUAGGCGGCCAGACAGGUCAGCUGUGAAAACUCGAGGCUCAACCUCGAGACGUCGGUUGAAACCGUCUGGCUAGAGUCCGGAAGAGGAGAGUGGAAUUCCCGGUGUAGCGGUGAAAUGCGCAGAUAUCGGGAAGAACACCCGUGGCGAAGGCGGUUCUCUGGGCAUGUCCUGACGCUGAGGAGCGAAAGUGUGGGGAGCGAACAGGG